GUCCGUGGCUCAGCCUGGUAGAGCGGCAGACUUGUAAUCUGCAUGUCCUGGGUUCAAAUCCCAGCGGGGGCU
rnacentral:tRNA from 1 species